CCCUGAGUGCUGCUGGUGUGACCCCCCAAAAAUACCCAUAAAAACCUUCCUAGGCAUGGAAGAGCAAGUCCUUAUUGAUUGGCAAAGCUGUACCAUUUUAUUGGUAACAGAUUCUGACUUGCACAAGGGACAUCU